rnacentral:sRNA from 1 species
AUGGCUGUCGUCAGCUCGUGUCGUGAGAUGUUGGGUUAAGUCCCGCAACGAGCGCAACCCUCGCUAUCAGUUGCCAGCAUUUAGUUGGGCACUCUGAUGGAACUGCCGGUGAUAAGCCGGAGGAAGGUGGGGAUGACGUCAAGUCCUCAUGGCCCUUACGGGCUGGGCUACACACGUGCUACAAUGGCGGUGACAGUGGGUUGCUACCUCGCGAGAGGAAGCUAAUCCCCAAAAACCGUCUCAGUUCGGAUUGUUCUCUGCAACUCGAGAGCAUGAAGUUGGAAUCGCUAGUAAUCGUGGAUCAGCGUGCCACGGUGAAUACGUUCUCGGGCCUUGUACACACCGCCCGUCACACCAUGGGAGUUGGUUUUACCUUAAGCCGGUGCGCUAACCUUCGGGAAGCAGCCGACCACGGUAAGGUCAGCGACUGGGGUGAAGUCGUAACAAGGUAGCCGUAGGGGAACCUGCGGCUGGAUCACCUCCUUUCAAGGAUAAACUUCGAAAGUAUUAGAUUUUUUUUGAUACAUAUUGAAGUUUGCACCUUUAAAAUACUAAAUAGCGCCAGAAUUUGCCGCCGUCUUCGUAUCCCUUUCUAAUUUGCCCGAGCCAAAACUAUAGUUUUGGUUUUAUAAAGUUUAAGUUUGUUUGAGCAGGACAUGGUCCAGUCAAUUCGGGCCUGUAGCUCAGCCCGGUUAGAGCGCACGCCUGAUAAGCGUGAGGUCGGAAGUUCAAGUCUUCCCAGGCCCACCAUUCCAAGAUUUCGGGGGGGCGUAGCUCAGUUGGGAGAGCGGUAGCUUUGCAAGCUUCAGGUCGUCGGUUCGAUCCCGUCCGCCUCCACCAUUUUGGUGACAAUAGCACUUAGGUGCGCUUUAACUUUAACGAUCAGGCAAAUAAAAAAGAGAAAAUUGUUUUCAAGCUAUUUUUUAGUUUGAGUGCUCUUUGUCAUUGUGAAUAGGUCAAUUAAUAUUACAUCUAAUUAAUCGUAAAUUAAGUUCAAUUUUUGUUGAGCUGAGUUAGAAAUCUACGUUUGGAUAGAAUAGAGAAAAAUUAAACGUAGCUUGUUUUAAUUUUACUUUAUUUGAAUUUAUCCCUGCGUAUGAUGAGAUCUCAAGUAUAAGAAGGGCAUUUGGUGAAUGCCUUGGCACUAAGAGGCGAUGAAGGACGUAGCACGCUGCGAUAAGCUGUGGGGAGGUGCGAGCAACCUUUGAUCCAUAGAUUUCCGAAUGGGGAAACCCGG